rnacentral:lncRNA from 1 species
GUCAUGAAAGUUAAAGCAAGCAUCUGCAGCAAGAAACUUGUGUAUUUCCUGCGGACAGGGAGACCUCCUGCCCCUCCCGGGCUGAUACAACCCACUUUGCACAUCCUGCUUCUCUGGGAGCUAAAAAUAAAUCGAGGCACUGAAGGACGGACAGAGGAAGUGACAGGGGAGCUGCACCCGGGAAAGGCUGCAAGGAGCAGGUCCCUAGAAGCGCGCGCUCCUCGCGCCCACCCUGAGCCCGCCGCGCCCGAAGCGCGCGGGUCCCCCCAGCAGCCGCUCCCGGCGCCGCCGCCCCCAGCACGCCCGCCCCGGCUGCCGCUCCGACUCCGCUCCGGCUCCGGAAAAGCGGAGGGAAGGCGCUGCGACUCACCGCCUCGGCCGCUCCCGGCGUCUGUGUCGCCGCGGGUGAGGCGGCGGCAGUGGCGGCAGCGGCGGCAGUGGCGGCAGCGGCGCUUCCCUCCGCCCGCCUCCCCCUGGACCGCACCGCGCCCGCCGCGCCCCCCGCCCCAGCCUCGCUCGCCGCCUCCCUCCUCCGGCCGCCGACCCUCCUCCCCACUGCGGCCCCGCGGGCAGCCUCUCCCUGGUGGGCUGGACCGCCGGGGUGCAGGGGGGCCAAACUGAGAGCCUUCUGUGGAUCGUCUAGGGAUGGCUUAACAAAACACUCCGUCGGAGGACAUCUGACGAGGGCGUACAUACACCCUCCCCCUACUGCAAGAUGUCACCAAAUUCUCCAUCUCAAGUGAAGAUGAGGAGGAAAAAAUGCCUUGUCAAUUUAUUCACCAAGUAUUUAUCGAGUGGCUGCCAGCACAUGUUCCUGUCUUGCUGUAUUGGCCACUCAUGACCUUUCAAAAAGCCACCAUAACUUCUUGUGCUUGUCAAACCCAGCGGCAUUUCCAGAACCCACGGAAGGUCUCAAUAGCAACUCAAAUUCAUUGAUUAAAAAACUUGCUGGUUCAAAAUAAUUUUUAAAAGGGGAUCGACCAGUGGCACAGCGGUUAAGUUUGCACCUUCCGCUUGAUUCGGGGGGUUCACCGGUUUGGAUGGAGGGUGCAGACCUACACACCGCUUGGUAAGCCAUGCUGUGGCAGGUGUCCCACAUAUAAAGUAGAGGAAGAUGGGCAUGCAUGUUAGCUCAGGGCCAGUCUUCCUCAAAAAAAGAAUUACUAAUAGUAAUAAUAAAAUGGCACCAUGUAAAGCUAUAAAGCCACCAUGACCUGUCUGUGCUUGAUAAAAUGAUUACAAAAUGUUUUAAUAGACUAAUUAUAGAAAUGAUAGUUACAUUUAGGUCCAAACAGCCACCAACUCUAAUUUGAAAAUCAAGUAAAAGGUUCACCUAACCAAAACCAUCCUCCUAGUUCUGCCUUCAAUUUCCACAUCAAUUACUCCUUCCGGAAAAGCUUGAAAGACUAAAGUUAUGUGGGAGGCCGUUAAACCGUGUUUAGAUGCUAAAACUUCCUCUUGAAUUGGAUUAGCAGAUUAUCACAGUGGUUUGCCUUCCUGGAUACAGUUUGGAAUCACCGAGGGAACUGAGAUUUUGUUUCGUU